GCUCCAUUAGCUCAGAUGGGAGAGCACUCGACUUUUAAUCGAGGAGUCAUGAGUUCGAGUCUCAUAUGGAGCA
rnacentral:tRNA from 1 species